ACACACACACACACAAAUGGAUUGCACAACUAGGGUUUUGAGAUAGACAGAGAUCGAGGCAACUAGGGUUUCGUAGAGAGAGAGAGGGGUUGCGACAAUGGUUUUGGCAAAAAGGAAGAGUGGUGGUCGCGAAGGUGCCAUAGAGGGGCUACGGGUUGAGUUUGCAGUGGUGGGAAGCUCGUGGCAAUGAGAAUUUCGCAGUGGAGGGGUUGUAGCGAAGGUGAUUCGCGGUGGUGGCAGUAGCCAGGGUUGGGGUUAAGAAAUUAGGGUUUUGGUGGAGAAGAUGAGAACAUUUUGAUAAUUUUAUGAUAUGACAAAAUUGUAAUAAAAAUUAUUGGCCCUUUUGUGCUUAAUGUGGUUGCUUUGGUUAGAGCGAAAUCGUCACGUUUUUCAGGGGGUUGCUUGGUCCAUGACUUGGCUAGAAAAUAGGUUUCUCCAAGUUUUGUGUGGUUAGGUGUCUGGGCAGGUGGAUCCAAAUUUGUUUACCUUUGUAGAUUUUAUAGAUGAUGUGAUUGGUUAGGUGUUUCUCUUUUUUUGGGGGCUCCAGUUUUGUAUUCUUUAGCAUCUUCCUCCACCAGUUAUUUCUACCCUUGCUGUUGAUUCUCCUUCUUCUGAUGACUCUGAUCUUGCUAACCGUAAGUAUCCUCUUAGCAUCCGUAAACAGGUAGUCAAACUUGGUUUUGCUAAAACAUGUUUUUCUCUUUUAUACUGUACGUUUUUGUUUGCUAUUCACUCUUUUUCAGAACCUCAGUUUUACAAGGAGGCUUGUCAGGAUCCUCAUUUGAUUCAAGUUAUAGAGGAUGAGUUGUUUGCUUUGCAGAAAACUAGCAUUUGGGAGUUGAUUCCUUUGCUUGCUGGUAAGAAUCUGGUUGAUUGCAAAUAGGUCUACAAAGUCAAGACUCAUUCUGAUAGUUCUCUUGAGCACUACAAAGCUCGCCUGGCUGUCAAGCGUUUUUCACAGGAAUAUGGUAUUGAUUAUGAGGAGACCUUUGCCCUCAUUACCAAGAUGACUACUAUCCGUACUUUGAUAUCUGUCGCUGCCAUUCGUCAUUGGCCUCUUUAUCAGAUGAAUGUUAAGAAUGCUUUUCUUAAUGGUCAUCUUACUGAGGAGGUUUACAUGCAUCCUCCCCUUGGCCUUCAGCAUUUCUUUGGAUAGGUUUGUUGUCUUCAGCGUGCUCUGUAUGGUCUGAAGCAAUCUCCUCGUAGUUGGUAUGAUCGCUUUCAAACUACUGUUACUGAGCUUGGGUUUCAUUCUUCUGCUCAAGACUUUGCUUUGUUUCUCCUCCACGUCUCUGUUGGUUUUGUUGCCUUAUUAUUGUAUGUGGAUAAUAUGGUUAUUACUGGCUCUGAUUCUUCUGUUAUUUCUGAGGUCAAGCAGCGUCUUUUUCGUAUCUUCAAAAUGAAGGAUUUGGGUCCACUACGGUACUUUCUUGGUAUUGAGGUGGCUUCUUCUCUCUCAAAGAUGGUUUUCCAAUACCAGGAGAAUACCGGACCGAGUCGGGUCAAGCCAGUUCGGGUUCUAGUGGUGUUAAGGGGACAAAGCAGUCAUGGGAUCGCCAGAGAAGGGGUUGGGGAAUAUUUCAAGAAGCCUCUCAAGGAUCAAAACAGGGGAAGCCCAUCUACGACUAAUGCCCUAUAGACAAGUUUUACAACUCCUUGAAGAUGGAACAAUCCUUUGAAGCUGAGCUUGAGGUUGUAUUACGGUAAUGGUGUCGGUGGCAAUGAAAAAGAAUGUAUCCACAAGCAGAGCUUCAGCUUAUACAGUAAGGCUUGUUGAACUUAUUUCUUCUAAGUGCUUGUGAAUGCGUUUGCAUUUUAUUCCUCGUGUAUUUGUUUUUUGAGGUUUCUCUUACACUUUGGGUGUUCCCUUUGUAUUAAUUUAAUUAUAUGUUGUACUUGAUUCUCAUUGUGAUUGUAAUUUUUGGAGUUCAUUGUAACAUGAUCCGUUAAUAAAGAAAUAGUCUUCGAAUAUGUUACCUAGAUGCA